UACGUAGGGAGCAAGCGUUGUCCGGAAUCAUUGGGCGUAAAGCGCGCGUAGGUGGCCUCAUAAGUCCGCUGUGAAAGUCAAAGGCUCAACCUUUGAAAGCCGGUGGAUACUGUGAGGCUAGAGUACGGAAGAGGCGAGUGGAAUUCCUGGUGUAGCGGUGAAAUGCGCAGAUAUCAGGAGGAACACCGAUGGCGAAGGCAGGUCUCUGGGCCAUAACUGACGCUGAGAAGCGAAAGCAUGGGGAGCGAACAGG
rnacentral:rRNA from 1 species